rnacentral:sRNA from 1 species
CUGAGCUAAAUCCCCAGCCCCGCUACAUUUCUUAAUUACAAUGCAUGUAUCUGUGAUUAAAAUUGAAUUCAUAAAUUAGGCACAAUUUUGCCCAUUCAUCAUAAGUGUAAUAAAUAGCACAAUCAUGGUAAUACUGUCCUAGAAAACCAUGUGACAUGGCCUCUUGAAGUAGCUCACUGUGUAGCACGCAUCCUGGCUUCUGUGGUGACCUGAUAAAUCGAGGUGCUAAAUCGUAGGCAUCGAGAGGUAGUACUGAGCUGCCACCGGCCCUUUGAACGUUCGUCAGGAGGCUCCUCUGCCUGGGGGCAUUGUGGAUCACGAGACCAUGACAGUGCAGGGGAUAACAGAAGCCACCACAAGAAGCCAUCACAGACAGGGGAUUAUUUAGAUGGCUGUGGAAGGAAGGAUCUUCUUUGGCCCAACAUUUUCUUUUUCCCAUGUACUGUGUCAUUUGAUCUAAACCAGCUCUCAGGAGGGUUUCAUUCAAGUAACAGGCUCAGGAGGGAGAGUGGUUUGGGCCAGAUUCAGGUCCCAGCGUUCAGCUGUGUUAGCCCCCCUGGGUCUCUAGCUGCAUGCCCAUCUUACUAACAGAACACUACCUUCAAUAUGGACUGCUCCUUCAUUCCCACAUCAGAACAGGACCACCGCAGGGUAGAGGGGUCCUUGGGACCCCUUUUGACUAAUCUUGCAUUUUAGAGGCAUGGUGACUUAUUUUACUUGUUCAAAACAUUUUAUUAUCAUUUUA